rnacentral:other from 1 species
CCCUGCGGUGUGCGCAAUUACGGAUUUAUUUUAACCAACACAUCUAUUAAGGGAGACUGAUGUUUUGCCGUGGCGUGUAGGCCCUCCGUUUGAAGACAGGGAAACCCAGGAGCGGUAAUCAGGUCGCCCACCUGCAUACGCAGGUUUAGAAUAGUCCGAAAAAAACGGCACUGCGGGGCU